rnacentral:rRNA from 1 species
UUUUUAUGAGAGUUUGAUCCUGGCUCAGGACGAACGCUGGCGGCGUGCCUAAUACAUGCAAGUCGAACGCCUCUUUUUCCACCGGAGCUUGCUCCACCGGAAAAAGAGGAGUGGCGAACGGGUGAGUA